AUCGCUUCUCGGCCUUUUGGCUAAGAUCAAGUGUAGUAUCUGUCCUUAUCAGAAAUAUAUGACAUUUAUGUGUAGAGGCAUAUGAAAGAUCAGAAACGUUAUUAAUGUUUACCUCUG
ensembl:snRNA U2 U2 spliceosomal RNA